rnacentral:rRNA from 1 species
UCCAGGCAAAUCCGGAUAAUCAAGGCUGAGGUGUGAUGACGAGGUACUACGGUGCUGAAGUAACAAAUGCCCUGCUUCCAGGAAAAGCCUCUAAGCAUCAGGUAACAUCAAAUCGUACCCCAAACCGACACAGGUGGUCAGGUAGAGAAUACCAAGGCGCUUGAGAGAACUCGGGUGAAGGAACUAGGCAAAAUGGUGCCGUAACUUCGGGAGAAGGCACGCUGGUGUGUAGGUGAAGUCCCUGCGGAUGGAGCUGAGACCAGUCGAAGAUACCAGCUGGCUGCAACUGUUUAUUAAAAACACAGCACUGUGCAAACACGAAAGUGGACGUAUACGGUGUGACGCCUGCCCGGUGCCGGAAGGUUAAUUGAUGGGGUUAUCCGUAAGGAGAAGCUCUUGAUCGAAGCCCCGGUAAACGGCGGCCGUAACUAUAACGGUCCUAAGGUAGCGAAAUUCCUUGUCGGGUAAGUUCCGACCUGCACGAAUGGCGUAAUGAUGGCCAGGCUGUCUCCACCCGAGACUCAGUGAAAUUGAACUCGCUGUGAAGAUGCAGUGUACCCGCGGCAAGACGGAAAGACCCCGUGAACCUUUACUAUAGCUUGACACUGAACAUUGAGCCUUGAUGUGUAGGAUAGGUGGGAGGCUUUGAAGCGUGGACGCCAGUCUGCGUGGAGCCAACCUUGAAAUACCACCCUUUAAUGUUUGAUGUUCUAACGUUGGCCCCUUAUCGGGGUUGCGGACAGUGUCUGGUGGGUAGUUUGACUGGGGCGGUCUCCUCCCAAAGCGUAACGGAGGAGCACGAAGGUUAGCUAAUCCUGGUCGGACAUCAGGAGGUUAGUGCAAUGGCAUAAGCUAGCUUGACUGCGAGCGUGACGGCGCGAGCAGGUGCGAAAGCAGGUCAUAGUGAUCCGGUGGUUCUGAAUGGAAGGGCCAUCGCUCAACGGAUAAAAGGUACUCCGGGGAUAACAGGCUGAUACCGCCCAAGAGUUCAUAUCGACGGCGGUGUUUGGCACCUCGAUGUCGGCUCAUCACAUCCUGGGGCUGAAGUAGGUCCCAAGGGUAUGGCUGUUCGCCAUUUAAAGUGGUACGCGAGCUGGGUUUAGAACGUCGUGAGACAGUUCGGUCCCUAUCUGCCGUGGGCGCUGGAGAAUUGAGGGGGGCUGCUCCUAGUACGAGAGGACCGGAGUGGACGCAUCACUGGUGUUCGGGUUGUCAUGCCAAUGGCACUGCCCGGUAGCUAAAUGCGGAAGAGAUAAGUGCUGAAAGCAUCUAAGCACGAAACUUGCCCCGAGAUGAGUUCUCCCUGAGACUUUAAGUCUCCUGAAGGAACGUUGAAGACGACGACGUUGAUAGGCCGGGUGUGUAAGCGCAGCGAUGCGUUGAGCUAACCGGUACUAAUGAACCGUGAGGCUUAACC